AACGAACGCUGGCGGCAUGCCUAACACAUGCAAGUCGAACGAGAUCUUCGGAUCUAGUGGCGCACGGGUGCGUAACGCGUGGGAAUCUGCCCUUUGCUUCGGAAUAACAGUGAGAAAUUACUGCUAAUACCGGAUGAUGUCUUCGGACCAAAGAUUUAUCGGCAAAGGAUGAGCCCGCGUAGGAUUAGGUAGUUGGUGGGGUAAUGGCCUACCAAGCCGACGAUCCUUAGCUGGUCUGAGAGGAUGAUCAGCCACACUGGGACUGAGACACGGCCCAGACUCCUACGGGAGGCAGCAGUGAGGAAUAUUGGACAAUGGGGGAAACCCUGAUCCAGCAAUGCCGCGUGAGUGAUGAAGGCCUUAGGGUUGUAAAGCUCUUUUACCAGGGAUGAUAAUGACAGUACCUGGAGAAUAAGCGCCGGCUAACUCCGUG
rnacentral:rRNA from 1 species